UACGAAAGGGGCUAGCGUUGCUCGGAAUCACUGGGCGUAAAGCGCACGUAGGCGGCUUCUUAAGUCAGGGGUGAAAUCCUGGAGCUCAACUCCAGAACUGCCUUUGAUACUGGGAGGCUCGAGUCCGGGAGAGGUGAGUGGAACUGCGAGUGUAGAGGUGAAAUUCGUAGAUAUUCGCAAGAACACCAGUGGCGAAGGCGGCUCACUGGCCCGGUACUGACGCUGAGGUGCGAAAGCGUGGGGAGCAAACAGG
rnacentral:rRNA from 1 species